UCCAUAUCCACCUUGUGUGCAAUGUUUGUUGGGAAAGCUUUAUCUUUCCCUUCAUAAAUAUCAACCUAUAUCUUUAACAAUAAAUCGUCUGAUAACAUAUUAUGAAUAUACUUAAUUCAAAAUAUAACUUUCAACAACGGAUCUCUUGGCUCUCGCAUCGAUGAAGAACGCAGCGAAAUGCGAUACGUAAUGUGAAUUGCAGAAUUCAGUGAAUCAUCGAAUCUUUGAACGCAUAUUGCGCUCUUUGGUAUUCCGAAGAGCAUGCUUGUUUGAGUAUCAGUAAACACCUCAACCUCUUCUUGAUUUUUCAAAAGGAGGGUGGACUUGAGCUAUCCCAACAACCUUUACCGGUCGGCGGGCGGCUUGAAAUGCAGGUGCAGCCGGACUUUUAUCUGAGCUAAAAGCAUAUCUAUUUAGUCCUCGUCAAACAGGAUUAUUACUUUUGCUGCAGCUAACAUAAAGGAUAAUUGUCCUCUUUGCUGACUGAUGCAGGAUUUUACGACACUAUAUGUGUUGUUCAACUCGAUCUCAAAUCAAGUAAGACUACCCGCUGAACUUAAGCAUAUCAAUAAGCGGAGGAAAAGAAACUAACAAGGAUUCCCCUAGUAACGGCGAGUGAAGCGGGAUGAGCUCAAAUUUGAAAUCUGGCUGGUUUACUAGUCCGAGUUGUAAUUUAAAGAAGCGUUUUCGGUGGCAAGCCUGGGUAUAAAUCCUUUGG
rnacentral:rRNA from 1 species